rnacentral:lncRNA from 1 species
GGCCAUUGUUUUUUGUUUGUUUCGUUUUAAACAGGGCAAAUCUGUCCUUGAACUCUUUGUCCUCCAGCCUCUACGUCCCAAAUGCUGGGUAUUUAGGCCUGGGCUACAACUCCCCAAAUUUUAUUCAAUGUUUUGAAAGGAACUCCAACCACUCUCUCUGUCUCUGUCUCUCCGUCUCUGUCUCUGUCUCUCUGUGUCUGUGUGUGUGUGUGUGUAUGUGUGUGUGUGUCAGGCAAGCAAACCGGGAGCUGACAAGAGGAAUUUGGAAUGUGGAAACCAACUUGAAGGAAAACACUGCAUUCUCCCCCAAGGCACAGUUUAUAAUGCCUGUUCUGCCACAUUAUCCCCCACCCCCACCUUUCUUACUUGCAAUUUGUUGAGUCUCAAUGAGUGUGCUGGAGUUGGCAGAUGAGCUGGGAAUUUGUUCAUCAGGAAGAGAGAAAAAUCUGUAUGCUAAAGUUCUGACCCUCCACAUUUUUUUUGUGUGUGUGAGUAAAAUUUCCCCAACCAAAAAAAAAAAAAAAAC